CAUUGUAGGUCUGUUUCUGAGACUGAAUACACCCAAUCUCGUCUGAUCUGCAAAGCUAAGCAGGGUUGGGCCUGGUUAGUAUUUGGAUGGGAGACUACCUGGGAAUACCAGCUGCUGUAAGCU
ensembl:rRNA 5S_rRNA 5S ribosomal RNA